AGACUGGCUGUAUUUUCUCAGAGGAAAAUGAAUAUCUGUCUUUGGAGGAGGGAUGUACUUUGCAGGGAUUCAAUCAGAAGAACCUGCUCUCAAGGGGGAGCAGGACCAGGUGAUAAUGAGACUGGCAUUCAUUCAUCCUGCUAGGAAGAAAGCCAGUCGCCUUCCCUUGCCAGCUUCUCUCUACUGCAGAAGUCAGCAAGCUGUGGCUCAGCUGGUCAAGACCAGCCCACCUACUCUAUUAUUUGUGUGACCCACAGAGUGUCUUUUCCCUCCCUGUGUUGCUUCAGGCACAGAUGAAAACUGGGAGAAUCCCUUACAUACUGUUUUUAUAAAAUCUUAGUCUUCAUGAAAAUCAAAGGAUGUCCAGUAGCUUCCUCGCUUGGAUAAAUGAAGCCACCAUCUCACAUUAAGGAAGCCUUUCUUUAUAGUAAACUGAGACUUCCUCAGAAAACUACAACCCAACACAGUGGACAUGGAGAGUCCAGCCUCAACAAAUAUUUCUACAUGACAGCUCCUGCCCAGGGGACAUCUGAGAAGAGGCACUGUUCCAGAAUAGAAAUAAGGGACUAAGUAAUGAGGCCUUGGGACACUGUCUGGAAAGGAAUCACUUAAUUACAAAGAACGGCAAACUCUCCAAAGCAGCUCAAAAAUAAAUGGGACAAUUACAAGAACACAGGAUGGGAAGAAUGGCACACAGCAACACAUCUCACAACAAACCAAGAAAAUAAAAA
rnacentral:lncRNA from 1 species